rnacentral:pre_miRNA from 1 species
ACAACAUUCGGACCAUCGGUCUACCGAGCAAUCUCACUCGCUCGGUAAAAGAUCUUCCUUUCGUCGU